UGCGUAGGCGGUUAAAUAAGUCAGAGGUGAAAGCUCAUCGCUUAACGAUGGAAUUGCCUUUGAUACUGUUUAACUUGAAUCAGGUUGAGGUUGGCGGAAUGAGUCAUGUAGCGGUGAAAUGCAUAGAUAUGACUUAGAACACCGAUUGCGAAGGCAGCUAGCUAGACCUGCAUUGACGCUGAGGCACGAAAGCGUGGGGAGCGAACA
rnacentral:rRNA from 1 species